GGGUUGUGAGGUUAAGCGACUAAGCGUACACGGUGGAUGCCCUGGCAGUCAGAGGCGAUGAAGGGCGUGCUAAUCUGCGAUAAGCGCCGGUAAGGUGAUAUGAACCGUUAUAACCGGCGAUACCCGAAUGGGGAAACCCAGUGUGAUUCGUCACACUAUCAUUAACUGAAUCCAUAGGUUAAUGAGGCGAACCGGGGGAACUGAAACAUCUAAGUACCCCGAGGAAAAGAAAUCAACCGAGAUUCCCCCAGUAGCGGCGAGCGAACGGGGAGGAGCCCAGAGCCUGAAUCAGCAUGUGUGUUAGUGGAAGCGUCUGGAAAGGCGCGCGAUACAGGGUGACAGCCCCGUACACAAAAGCGCAUAUGCUGUGAGCUCGAUGAGUAGGGCGGGACACGUGGUAUCCUGUCUGAAUAUGGGGGGACCAUCCUCCAAGGCUAAAUACUCCUGACUGACCGAUAGUGAACCAGUACCGUGAGGGAAAGGCGAAAAGAACCCCGGCGAGGGGAGUGAAAAAGAACCUGAAACCGUGUACGUACAAGCAGUGGGAGCACAGGUUUACCUGUGUGACUGCGUACCUUUUGUAUAAUGGGUCAGCGACUUAUAUUCUGUAGCAAGGUUAACCGAAUAGGGGAGCCGUAGGGAAACCGAGUCUUAAC
rnacentral:rRNA from 1 species